AGAGUUUGAUCCUGGCUCAGGAUGAACGCUAGCUACAGGCUUAACACAUGCAAGUCGAGGGGCAGCAUCAUCAAAGCUUGCUUUGAUGGAUGGCGACCGGCGCACGGGUGAGUAACACGUAUCCAACCUGCCGACAACACUGGGAUAGCCUUUCGAAAGAAAGAUUAAUACCGGAUGGCAUAAUUAUUCCGCAUGGGAUAAUUAUUAAGGAAUUUCGGUUGUCGAUGGGGAUGCGUUCCAUUAGGCAGUUGGCGGGGUAACGGCCCACCAAACCUACGAUGGAUAGGGGUUCUGAGAGGAAGGUCCCCCACAUUGGAACUGAGACACGGUCCAAACUCCUACGGGAGCA
rnacentral:rRNA from 1 species